GAAAUAGUAACAGUUUCAGAGCAGAGUUAGGGCAGAGAAGGGAGAAAAAUGACACAGGAGAAAAUUAUUAAGGAAAAAAUUGGCUAGCAUUUUAGAACUAGUUAGUGAAUUACUGAGUCAUCAAUGGUGGUGUUAAAAACAACUAAUUUCUAAAACAAUCAAGGUUAGAUAAACAAUACUGCUUAGCUGCUUGGUGGUAUCUAAAAUGUGAAACAUAGUGCCAAGUAUGUGUUAUAUCUGUGUUUAAAGAGAGCAAGGCAAAAUAAGGGAGUAACAACUCAGAAAUGAUUACAUACUCUUGUCCUCUUUAAAGCUUAAAGGAUUCAAAACCCCAAAUGAGCUUGAAAAUCUUACCAGAGUCCCAGUAACUCCAAAGAGAAUCAAUACUGUUAUUGAUUACAUAUGAUAUUA
rnacentral:lncRNA from 1 species